AAUAGAAAUGCCUUGUCAUGCCAACUGCAGACACAUUGAGAACAUCAAGUAAGAUUGAAACCGAAUAAAUAAUAAACGCAACAAGCUGGUAGGUUAAGUAAUCAUAAUGGUGGUUGUAAUACUACACAAUCAAGCACUAAUUGAGGAGCUAAUUGUAACACUAACAACACUUCCCCAUUUUUUUUUCCCUUAAAGGGUAAUAAUAAUAAUCUUGAUAGCAAUGGUAAAAGUAGUAACUAUUAUCCCACCGCCAUUCAUUCUAACAAAAACUUA
rnacentral:misc_RNA from 1 species